rnacentral:lncRNA from 1 species
UUUGUUACACACAAUCCACUCCUCUUCUUCUCACCACAACCCACCUCUCCAUCGCCAAAGGAAAUCUCAUGGUCUUCUUCUGGUGCGAUUUCCAUCUAAGAAUCCACAUCGUCAACGUUAGACCACAUAGCGAAGGAGCUAUGUACUACUCGAAAUCCAAAUCCAGGUUUUCUUUCUUCUUCUGUUUUGUUUCUCUAAUCUCGGUUAUACGAUUCAUCUUCACAUAUGCUUGUUAAUGGCGUGUAGAUUCCGCGAAACUAAUCAAAAUAUUGUUCGGUAUGCGAU